rnacentral:misc_RNA from 1 species
AAUUCAGAGGGGACAAAUGAUGGAAUUGUUAUUCUUCCUGAACUCAAAAUUUCGAUGUCUUCUUCAUCAUCCUCCUCAGAAUCUUCAAUAGAUUCUAGCUAUGUUGGAAAGGAUGAAUCAAAUCUCAAGUCGAAAGAAGUAUCUGCACCAGAAGUUUCAGGUCAUAAUCCUAGUUCAUCUGCAAUGAACCCUCAAAAUCUAAUUUCGAUGCAAUCAUCUGGAGGCUAUGAUCCUAAUAGGAUU